rnacentral:rRNA from 1 species
GUCGAGCGGUAGCACAAGAGAGCUUGCUCUCUGGGUGACGAGCGGCGGACGGGUGAGUAAUGUCUGGGAAACUGCCUGAUGGCGGGGGAUAACUAGUGGAAACGGUAGCUAAUACCGCAUAACGUCGCAAGACCAAAGUGGGGGACCUUCGGGCCUCACGCCAUCAGAUGUGCCCAGGUGGGAUUAGCUGGUAGGUGGGGUAACGGCUCACCUAGGCGACGAUCCCUAGCUGGUCUGAGAGGAUGACCAGCCACACUGGAACUGAGACACGGUCCAGACUCCUACGGGAGGCAGCAGUGGGGAAUAUUGCACAAUGGGCGCAAGCCUGAUGCAGCCAUGCCGCGUGUGUGAAGAAGGCCUUCGGGUUGUAAAGCACUU